CGAAGGGGGCUAGCGUUGUUCGGAAUUACUGGGCGUAAAGCGAACGUAGGCGGUGUUCUAUGUCAGAGGUGAAAGCCUGGGGCUCAACUCCAGAAUUGCCUUUGAAACGGGGACGCUUGAGUCCGAGAGAGGGUGGCGGAAUUCCUAGUGUAGAGGUGAAAUUCGUAGAUAUUAGGAAGAACACCAGUGGCGAAGGCGGCCACCUGGCUCGGUACUGACGCUCAGGUUCGAAAGCGUGGGGAGCAAACAGGAUUAGAUACCCUGGUAGUCCACGCCGUAAACGAUGAGUGCUAGUUGUUGGGAAGUUUACUUCUCAGUGACGCAGCUAACGCGAUAAGCACUCCGCCUGGGGAGUACGGCCGCAAGGUUA
rnacentral:rRNA from 1 species